UACGUAGGGUGCGAGCGUUGUCCGGAAUUAUUGGGCGUAAAGAGCUCGUAGGCGGUGUGUCACGUCGGCCGUGAAAACCUGCAGCUUAACUGUGGGCGUGCGGUCGAUACGGGCAUCACUGGAGUUCGGCAGGGGAGACUGGAAUUCCUGGUGUAGCGGUGAAAUGCGUAGAUAUCAGGAGGAACACCGAUGGCGAAGGCAGGUCUCUGGGCUGACACUGACGCUCAUGCACGAAAGCCAGGGGAGCAAACGGG
rnacentral:rRNA from 1 species